ensembl:snoRNA
AUCCUUGUGUGACUCAUAAGCAUGAUUGGGCAUUCACAUGCUGUGUGAAAUGAACCUCCCUUGAAUCUUACUAUGAGGUCAGCACAUCAUCCCGGUGACC